rnacentral:rRNA from 1 species
UACGUAGGGCGCAAGCGUUGUCCGGAAUUAUUGGGCGUAAAGAGCUCGUAGGCGGCUUGUCACGUCGGGUGUGAAAGACCGGGGCUUAACUCCGGUUCUGCAUUCGAUACGGGCUAGCUAGAGUGUGGUAGGGGAGAUCGGAAUUCCUGGUGUAGCGGUGAAAUGCGCAGAUAUCAGGAGGAACACCGAUGGCGAAGGCAGAUCUCUGGGCCGUAACUGACGCUGAGGAGCGAAAGCAUGGGGAGCGAACAGG